GUACUAGCAUCAAAACACUGGGGUGGAGACAUGAAGCGAAGCAGAGGGGCGAACCAAGGAAAUCAGAGUCGCGCUAUUUCUAUAUCCUAAUCCUGUGCUCUUAUAUUUUUUUACACAUUUACAAUCUUGUGUUUUGAAUAAUUCUUGUGGCUUGAAAAGACAGAGUGGAGGAUCAAGGAAUGAAGUCAGAACAAUUUUCUAAUUAAAUAUAUCCAAAGGAUGGUAAUAGGUCGUGUCAAGAUGAGUGCACGAGAAGGAUAGUGAAAAAGAAAGGGAUUGCAUGCUUCUAACUGCGAUUUUUGACAGAGGUUGAUCAUCUGGGUCUUAAAGAAGAAACUAAAGCUAAAGAUUCCUGGUUACAACACACCAGUGCAAUUUGGUGUCCUGAUACCCUUUGAGUAUCCUCUUGAAGGAAGAUUGGGUGAUAUUGUUGUUGCACCAAGAAUUGGAACUAUGCUGGGUGAUACAACAAUAUUUGUUCAUCCAGGGUAUAAAAGAUAUAAGCACCUGCAUGGAAGAUAUGCAAUUCACCCCUUGAAUGACAGAAAACUAAAAAUAAUCUGCGAUGCUGUGUUGGUGGAUCCCACUUUCGGCACUAGGUCUGUCAAAGGUGUGAUAUAAUGCCAACUGGCUUAAUAUUCAUGCGUUCCUCUUGUUAUGACAUCGAGCUAAUGUCCCAUUUGUUACACUAUUUGUGCUCCUAGACUAAGCAUAACCUUGCAUACUUUGGAUAAACUACUUUCUAUGAUUCACUUGUGCCUAUGUUAGAACCGAAAUUCAUUUGUUGUAAUGAAUAUGGUUGUAUCAACAUUACCUAUUCAGACUUGGUUCAUCGAAUAGACUACUUUUCUUUUCUCUGCUACUUGUAUGUCAGAAAACUAUCAUGUAUAUGAAGCAAGUUAUUAGUAAAGCUUCCCAUUUUCUUA